rnacentral:misc_RNA from 1 species
ACACACCUUGGUCUGAGAUAAAACGAACAUGGCUGCAAUAUGGAUUCCAAUAUUAGCUUUGUUCUCACUUGUAUUCGUCUCACAUAAUGUAUUUGCUUGUGAUGACGUCAGCACAUCCGCCUGUCAGAAGUUUGCCGCACAGAACCCAGCGAUGUGUGACUACGGGAGUUGCUACGCCACUUUAUGUCCUAGAACAUGUCAGAAAUGUGCGUCUGUAACAUGCUACUCGUGUAGAGCUGUGGCUCGACCUGAAAACUGCAACACAACAAUAGAGUGUCCGAGCAAGGAUUUCAAAUGUAUCUUAGCAAAGUCUUACACAGACGACUUUAGAGAAGUAUUUGGACUUGGAUGUGCUUUAGGAAAUGUGUGCGACAGUGCAGACAGCAAUACGAUAUGUUGCUCCACUGACUUAUGCAACAACAACAAGACCCAGCCAACAACAACAACAACAGCAGCCAGGAAGCUUCCUAUCAGAAGAGGAAACAAAGACAAAGUUGUGAGACAGACCGCUGCCUCUUGUACAGACAUUCACGACGACGCUUGUCGAGACCUUCUGUCCUCAGAUGCCAGCAUAUGUGACACAGCUUGUGCCAAAUCACUUUGCCCUCUGACAUGCGGCGCCUGCAAACAGUGCUAUGACUGUGACUACGUUUCUGAUUCCAGUCAGUGUAAUUCCACACGUGUUUGUCAACAAGGAGAGCAUUGUUAUGGGAUAGAAACAAUCAAUACGUACCACGAACACGGUUUUCGACUUGGAUGCGCACCAGACAUUCUAUGCAACAAAUUAACGUCAAUGGCGGUGAGCACGUUUGGACGUAAGCGGGCUUUGGCAGGUGGGUGCUGUGAUGGUAACCUAUGUAACGAUCAUCUCAAGGCCGUGACAACCACAACAACGACGACAACUACGACAACAACUACUACAACCAAAGAUCCAUUAUGUCAGUGCACAGGAACGUUUUAUUAUCAAGUGAACAACGAGUGCUAUUUUAUCUCCGGCACUGAAGGAACAAGGCAAAACGGACAGGAUUACUGUAACAUUCAUUGCGGACAGCUAGCAACCUUUACGGAAUCCUCCCAAUUAUCAGCUGUGACAACUCACUACUACAAUUUGUUCCGUCAUUCCCUAGUAUCAUCAUUACGACCACAUGUUUGUGGACGCUGUCAAAUAUCAGAAAAGUCACACACACCCUACAUACAUCUGGGAGUCCACUGGAAGGACAGUCUCGUCAAGUUUACUUAACCUACAUAACGUGAACAGCACGUACAGUGAUAUGUGUGCUGUCACGUCCAGUUUGCACUCAAAUACCAUUCAGGCUGAGGAUUGCUCUGAUUCUCAUUAUGCUUUAUGUCAACUAAGGAAGCAAUAAACCUAUUUAAUUGU